rnacentral:rRNA from 1 species
GACAGAGGUGCCGAGCGUUAGGCGGAAUCACUGGGCUUAAGGCGUGUGUAGGCGGAGUGCUAAGUACCUUGUGAAAUCCCACGGCUUAACCGUGGAACUGCUUGGUAUACUGGUUCUCUUGGGUCAUCUAGGGGCGAGCGGAACAAACGGUGGAGCGGUGAAAUGCGUAGAUAUCGUUUGGAACGCCAAUGGUGAAAACAGCUCGCUGGGGAUGCACCGACGCUGAGACACGAAAGCCAGGGGAGCGAACGGG